rnacentral:rRNA from 1 species
CCCUUAGAUGUUCUGGGCCGCACGCGCGCUACACUGACUGCUCCAACAAGUUACCUGGGCAGACAAGCAUCCGGGAAAUCUUGCAAAGGCAGUCGUGAUGGGGAUAGAUUCUUGUAAUUUUUGAUCUUCAACGAGGAAUUCCUAGUAAACGCAAGUCAUCAGCUUGCAUUGAUUACGUCCCUGCCCUUUGUACACACCGCCCGUCGCAUCUACCGAUUGAAUGGAGAGGCAAAAUCUUCGGACCGUGACGCUUGGGAGUCAAAUCUCGGGCUGUCGUGGGAAGUGGAUUAAACCUUUCUAUUUAGAGGAAGGUAAAGUCGUAACA